AUGUCACUGUCUCCUCCUCCUCCACUGCUCCAACUGUUCAACCCUCCCUCCUCCUCCUCCUCAGACCUCAUCCUCCUCCCGGACCUUUCCCCUCCCACACGCCGCCCCCGUGGUCCUCCCCACGACCCCACCCACCCCGGCGACCUCCCCCCAUCCCCACCGCCGCCGCCGCCGCGCCGCGCGGUGCCGUCUUCCUCCCCCGCCCCGCCGCGCGGUGCCGUCUUCCUCCCCCGCCCCGCCGCGGCGUUCCUCCGGCGCCGGCCGGCGAAGUCCCGGGCUCCGAUUCGCGAAAAGGGGGUGGCUGAAGUUUGUUCCGGCGGCGUGGGAUGA
rnacentral:rRNA from 1 species